rnacentral:rRNA from 1 species
CUCCCGGCACGGGGAGGUAGUGACGAAAAAUAACGAUACGGGACUCAUCCGAGGCCCCGUGAUCGGAAUGAGCACACUUUAAAUCCUUUAACGAGGAUCAAUUGGAGGGCAAGUCUGGUGCCAGCAGCCGCGGUAAUUCCAGCUCCAAUAGCGUAUAUUAAAGUUGCUGCGGUUAAAAAGCUCGUAGUCGAAAUUGUGUCCUCGGCCGCCGGUUCGUCGCUCGCGACGCCAACUGGCGCGCACGCUGGACGUCCAGCCGGUACUACGAACUCGCCUACGGGGUGCUCUUAACCGAGUGUCCAGGCGGGGGCCGGCAACGUUACUUUGAACAAAUUAAAGUGCUUAAAGCAGGCUAAAUUGCGCUCGCAUACACGCGCAUGGAAUAAUCGAAUAGGACCUCCGUUCUAUUUUGUUGGGUUUUUGUGGAACGACAGACGGAGGUAAUGAUCAAUGGGUGCGGAUGGGGGCAUUCGUAUUGCGACGUUAGAGGUGAAAUUCUUGGACCGUCGCAAGACGGACUUAAGCGAAAGCAUUUGCCAAAAACGCUUUCAUCGAUCAAGAACGAAAGUUAGAGGUUCGAAGGCGAUCAGAUACCGCCCUAGUUCUAACCAUAAACUAUGCCAGCUAGCGAUCCGCCGACGUUACUUCUAUGACUCGGCGGGCAGCUUCCGGGAAACCAAAGCUUUCGGGUUCCGGGGGAAGUAUGGUUGCAAAGCUGAAACUUAAAGGAAUUGACGGAAGGGCACCACCAGGAGUGGAGCCUGCGGCUUAAUUUGACUCAACACGGGAAACCUCACCAGGCCCGGACACCGGAAGGAUUGACAGAUUGAGAGCUCUUUCUUGAUUCGGUGGGUGGUGGUGCAUGGCCGU